UCGAAGUCUAUGACCUCCAUUACACCUGUGCACCUGUCUGUAGGUCUUCGAAAGGGGAUCUAUGUAUUCGAAUCACGCUCGCUAUGUAUGGCAUGAGAGUAUAUAAUAUAAUAUAUA
rnacentral:misc_RNA from 1 species